UUUCUGCUGCAACACACUUAUCCCUGAGUCUAAAUCCAAGAUUACCUCAUUUUCUUAUAAUGUAUUCAUUUCGCUUCCGUCUCCCCCUCCAGAAUGCCAGGCAACUCCAAGAGGGCAGGGAUGGUGUUUGCUCUCUGCUCUGACGCUGGGACCCAGAGUGGUGUGUGCCUCACAGUAGCUGCCCAGCACACUUUUGUUGAAUGAAUGAAUGAAUGCAUAUUUCACCUCGGAAGGAGGCUGGCUUGGGCCUCCCUGCUGGGCAGGGCAAACAGCACUCCGUCACCUCCUAGGACACCUUCUGUUCGCAGCACACAGUACCUCCCCGUGGCAGCCAGGUGAGAAUGUUGGGGACCCCCUGCUGCAUCCUGCACCCCGCCAUGCUCAGGUCUGCCACCCCACCUGACCCAGAUGCCACGGCCUGCCUAGAGCCCCUCCCCACCCCCUCCAGCCCCUGCCUCUCUUUGUCCCUUCCCUGACCCAUAGCCCGGAAUCCUCUGGCACUGGCCUGUCUACACUUCAGGACCCAGGGGCUGUGCUAGUCUCCAGGCACUCUCCAGAAGCCCCAGCCCCUGCUCCACAUGGCCUAGCACACCCACUCCGGCCUUACCCACAAGCCCAGCCCUGCCCCAAAGGCCAGCCCGGCCUGCCAUGUCCCUGUGUCCACUCUGGGGAGUCCCCGAGAGAGCUCAGGGUUGGGGCUGGCACUGGCCUGGGAGAGGCCUUAGAGUUGCAUCUGGAGCUGACAGAGGACAUCAUCAGCAAGUUCCUGACUAAGCCGCACUUCCACUGCCAUCAGGACACUGUGCACUGAGCACCGGGCCAGAGAAACGUCGCGCUCCUAAAAGGAGGCUUCCCCAGACACUGGAGCCCAAGCCCAAGAGCGCCCGUUUCCUGAGCUGCUUCCCUACAUCAGGCCCUGGCCUGAGCCCAGGCCUUCUGACCCCACAGGUGGGACGGUCACUAUCCCACGGGCAGCUCGGGUCAAACCACUCGUCUAAGGUCACAGAGCUAAGCCUGGCAGAGCCGCGAUAAGGACAUGGGUCUUGGUUGCUUCUGGGUCCCUGGGGCGGAAGGUGCCCUGUAUCACCUGCACCAAGUAUUUACUCAAGACAAAAGAAAAUGACCUGAGCACAGCAAAGUGCUAGGGGAGAGUAGACUGGGCCCUGGAUGAGGAAGAAAAAAUCUUCCUGCCUCUGCCAUUCCUGGCAAAGUCCUCCGGGGAUGUUCCAGCCAGUGCAGAAGAAGGAGCCUCGGGGAGGCCAUGGCACAGGUGGGGUGUGGGGUGGAGACAACGCCCAGC